AUUGAACGCUGGCGGCAUGCUUUACACAUGCAAGUCGAACGGUAACAGGCCGCAAGGUGCUGACGAGUGGCGAACGGGUGAGUAAUGCAUCGGAACGUGCCCAGUCGUGGGGGAUAACGCAGCGAAAGCUGUGCUAAUACCGCAUACGAUCUAUGGAUGAAAGCGGGGGACCGUAAGGCCUCGCGUGAUUGGAGCGGCCGAUGUCAGAUUAGGUAGUUGGUGGGGUAAAGGCCCACCAAGCCAACGAUCUGUAGCUGGUCUGAGAGGACGACCAGCCACACUGGGACUGAGACACGGCCCAGACUCCUACGGGAGGCAGCAGUGGGGAAUUUUGGACAAUGGGCGCAAGCCUGAUCCAGCAAUGCCGCGUGCAGGAAGAAGGCCUUCGGGUUGUAAACUGCUUUUGUACGGAACGAAUAGGUCUGGGUUAAUACCCUGGGCCGAUGACGGUACCGUAAGAAUAAGCACCGGCUAACUACGUGCCAGCCGCCGCCGUAAGAC
rnacentral:rRNA from 1 species